rnacentral:lncRNA from 1 species
CAACCCCCUGAUUCUUAUCCACAGGGACUCUCUACCUUAUCAUUCGCAACCCAAAGCUCAACAACAUCGAAACACUCUCUAACAGAGAGAGCCAUGCCACCGCCCCUCCUUUGUUGCCUGUCUCUUCUGAAGAGCUUGUAGCCAUCCAUUGCAGCACUCCAGUCACGGGAGUAGUCCCACCACAUUUCAGUGAUGGCGACUAGGUCAUAGUUUGCCUGCCACACAAUAACUUCCAGCUCCUCCUGUUUGUUCCUCAUGCUGCAUUAGUGUAAAUGCACUUCAGCUGAGCCAUUACCCUCACCCUCAACCCUGGCAUUGUUCCCCCAGUCUCAUCUCUGUCAAGCCUCAUUUCAACCCCAUCCCUCUUCAUACCAAGUUUAAAGCCCUCUAAACGAGCCAUGCCAGCUUCUGGGCUAGGAUUCAUUUACCCCUUUCAGACAGGUGGGACCCAUCGGCAGCCAUCAGGCCAGGUGACAAGUAAAUUGCCCCAUGGUCAAAAAAAUACAGUAUUCCCGUGAUGGCACCAGCCUCUCAGCCAUGUAUUUAUCAGCUGGGUUUUUUGGGUCCUCUCCAUAUCGCUCCCUGCUACUGACGGGAUAGAGGAAAACACAACCUGCACUCCUACUCCAUCCACUAACCACCUCAAUCCCUUGACAUCCCUUUUGAUAGCCUUCACUUUGAGACCAACAGUCCAACCAAUUUUUCACUGUUAUGUUUCAACCUUAUAAGCUGUUACUAGGUUCAUCUUUGCGGAAAAGAAAAAAAUAUAUUCAAAACUGGAAAAAAUUGUGGCAUGACUGUAUUUGGAAAGAAUACCAGCUGUGUAUGUAGUGUUGAAACAGGAAUCUGGUUCUUAGGACAGGAGAGACUAACCACAUCACAGAGCUGAUCAGGACUGCCAGCUGCACCGCGGGGCAGGCCUGCUAGCCAGUACCCAUGCUUGCCUUCACUUGUGCACACAAUUUACCUGCAAACUAUUUUGGAGCUACUCCAACAGUGGUACAAUACUUACAGUUAAAUGAAAACAUCCCAGGUACAUGGAAAUGUUUGGGCUCAGUGCCUUUGCCUCACUCAGUCUUCUGUAUUCAUCUGUUUUACUCCCGUCACAGGUUGUAUCUGACAGGGAAGACAAGAAAAUCAUGUGAUCAUGGAAUUUUGUUACUCCAUUUGUAAACAAUGACUGGGUUAUAUUCUGGAAACUUUA